GAGAGUAUAGCUCAGUGUUAGAGCGUGUGCCUAAUGUGCAUGAGGUCCUGGGUUCAAUCCUCAGUAUCUCCA
rnacentral:tRNA from 1 species